GUAAGAUACACAUACCUCCCAAUGUUAGGAGCUAUGAGAUUGGGACCGGUAAGUCGUGCCCUGAGGCUGAGGGGGCAUCACCAACCCAUAACAGUGGCAGACUUGAAGGGGCAUAUCUGACUGGCACCUAACCUAUAGGACCUUGCAGAGAGUGCUGUUGAAGUGCUGUAUGCAGCAUUUUAGUGUCCUAUACAGAGCAAUGAUGUGCUCGAGCUUUGCUGCCUUAGAAGAGGUCAAAAAAUCAAGACAUUGGGAUAGGACGCUGAAAUGGGGACUGUCCCGUCGAAAUCUUGAC